ensembl:miRNA oni-mir-10787 oni-mir-10787
CUCCCACACUUACUUAGCACCUGUGCAGCAUUACUAAAAGGGUGCAGUGGGUGUGGGAGUG